rnacentral:rRNA from 1 species
GGAGUCUGGGCCGUGUCUCAGUCCCAAUGUGGCCGUUCAUCCUCUCAGACCGGCUACUGAUCGUCGCCUUGGUAGGCCGUUACCCCACCAACUAGCUAAUCAGACGCAGACCCAUCGCAAAGCGAUAGCUUACAAGUAGAGGCCAUCUUUAAUAUCAUCUCCAUGCGGAAACGAUACAACAUUCGGUAUUAGCAGUCCUUUCGGACUGUUGUCCCCAUCUUUGCGGCAGGUUGUCUACGCGUUACUCACCCGUUUGCCACUCGACUCAUCUAAGCAAGCUUAAAAUCGUCUCGUUCGACUUGCAUGUGUUAAGCACGCCGCCAGCGUUCGUCCUGAGCCACUGAUCAAACUACU